CCUGGGUUCAAUCCUCAGCAAAACACACACACAUACAUACACACACACACGCCUAUAUAACAAGUAUUAUUUUACUCUAAUUUUACAAGUAAAGAACAGAAUCUUAGAGUGUGUAAUAACUUACUUAAGCAGGGAUUCAGAUAUAUAUGCAUUUCUGACUCUAUCACAAGAGUAAUCAUUGAAUGGUUUUGAAUUUGCUUUGCUACUUUAAUGGGUAAUUGGCAGUGGUCAGUCAACAACCAUUUACUGUCAUGUGUUCAAGUUUUCUGUUGUAUACAUUGUAACAGAAACUAUCUACCUUCCUAUCACAUUUUAUAUUUCUGACAUGAAGACCCCCAGUAUUGAUGUAGGAUGGGCUAAUUUCUACAUGACCUGAGAUUUUAUUUAUUUUUUUAAUAAAUUUUUUUUUGAGAGAAAGAGAGAGGUUUUUUUUAAAAAAUAUUUAUCUUUUAGUUUUCGGCGGAUACAACAUCUUUUUGUAUGUGGUGCUGAGGAUCGAACCCGGGCCACACGCAUGCCAAGCGAG
rnacentral:lncRNA from 1 species